GCCCCGCCCCCUGCCUCACCUGCCCAACUGCCCUAAAGGGCCCGAGCUGGGGAGGGGUUAGAGAACGGCCGAGGACUAGCGGAGGGAGCAAUGGGAGUCGGGAGAAGGGGAACAAGACAAUGGAGGUUGUGGCAAAGUAACGAUGAUUACAGAUGCUGUUGAAUAGAUGGAGACUCUCGUGCAUCCGGUUCUGGGGGAAAGAGUGGAGAAAGAGCAGCACCAUGUCGUAGGCGCUGAGAGCAGCAAUGAAGAUGAUGCAGGUGACGCCUUCAAAACAAUGGAUCCAUUUCUUCCUCUCUGAGCGCUGACCACCCACGUCAAACAUUCUGCCGGAGAAUAGGACACCUCCUGGACACCAAUCCCAGAUCUCCUGACCCCAAGCUCCCACUUGGGAGGAAGAGGGAGACUGACCCCAUCCCUCCAGAAAAACAAAGUAUAAGCACUCAUUGAGCCUGGAGGUCUGAGAGGCAGGGGGAGCUCAAAAAGGAAGGGUGCCUGGGAACUCACUAUCCUGCGGAGUCAUUGAGCUGGUAUUCAGAGGCUCUGUCAAAGCAGGCCUGGAUGCCGGAGUCCUUCCACAGACGCUGAAUGAUGUCAGACAUUUCCUUGGGCAUUGUGCCUUCCUCAAUGGUGUCUGCCAUGUGCAUCAGCUUCCUUGCAUCAUCCUGGGGGUAGGCCUUUCCCAGAAGAUGGUGCUCAGGAGGAUGGGAGAAGAGGGGAAAGUGGAGAAGGAGAAACACUUACUUCAUCUGCUUAACAAUGGUGCUUUUCCCAGACUCUCCAGCCCCUACAGAAAGAAAUACAAAUGUACCGUGAACUCCCUGAUGGCAUACCUUCUCUGAGAACAAUGACUGUAUUACUUAGGUUUGAGAGCUUCCCUAAGGCCCAGCACCCAGGAAGUGCUAACAAGAGAGCCUAUGAAAGCCAGAAAUAGCCUUGAACCUGGAGGUUAGCCCUAAUCCACUUCCUGGACUACCCCAAAGACCUCCUGGACCCCAAAGGUGGGUUUAGAAGCCUUGAAGAGACAGAGGAGACAAGAAAGAACAAUAUUUGAACAAUGACCACAUCCCUUCCCAACAAGAACAAAACUGGAACUCAGCCAUCCAGGGCUGAGGAGGCCCCCUGCCUUCCCAAAGUGGUGACCCCUUCAAGGUGAUCCUGGGACAUAUUCUUAGAGACCUUGUUCAUGGACUCCAUCCUGGGGGUAAAGGGAAAUGAUUGGGGCUUGAACUCCAGGACACCAGGCUACAGGACUCCUUGGGUGUGGGGGCGGGCAGGAGGGGGACAUCUGUGACAGAAUGAUCAUGAGCCAGAGUGAAAUGACUGAGUGUUUGGUGUGCCUGUGUGUGAUAGCUGGGGGGCAUCUGUAAUGUCCUCAUAUGUCUGUAUGGACUAUGUCGUGGUGGGUGUAUCUGUUUGAAUCUACAGAUGUGCAUAUCUCUGUUUAUUAAUGUGAUUCCCUAUUUCUAGAAUCUAUUAGAGUUGAAUGGAAAGGAGAGAGGUCACAGAUAUUUUAAAGCACCUACUAUGUGCCAGAGGCUAUAUCAAGUACUUUAUAAAUAUUAUCUCAGUUGAUCCUCUCAUAAUCCUGGAAGGUAGGUGCUAUUGUUUCCAUUUUGUAAUUAAGGAUACUAAGGCAAAUGGUAGUUAAGUGGCUUGUCCAGGUCAUAUGAGUAGAUGAGUAGUAUCUGAGGCCCAAUUUGAAUUUAUAUCUUCUUGACUCUAGCAUGACUUAGAGGUCAUCUAUUUCAACCCCCUUACUUUACAGACUAGUAAACUGAGGCCCCCAAAGAAGGUGGUCAUUGAGCAAAUUAGUGGCAGAAGCAGGCCUUUGCCAGAUGGACUCCCAUCCUAGGGCCCUUUUCACUAUAUCAAAGAUAAGUUCAACAAACUUAUUCCGAGCACCUUCUAUAUGGGGUACUACUACAGGAAAACAUGGAAAUGGCAAAGACUCAGGACCUAUCUUCAGGAAGCUGGGAAGAAGUAGAGGAGGGCUAGACUAGAGCUCUGCUCAGGGAAGACUGACCUCAACCCUAUUUUCAGGAAGUUCCAGUUCAAGGGAGGUGUGAAUGGAGAUAUUACAUACACAGAAAUUCUUCACUGUAGCUCCGUAAUCCUCCAGGAUGGGCAGACCCUUAGCUAACAUGAGCCGAAGCCCCUCCAUGACUAAUUAUUCUGUGCAGCUUUCAUUAAGGUCCCCCAAAUAUCAAGGAUCCAUCCAAUAAGUAGGAGGGUUCCUCUGGUUCUUUUAAUACCUUUUUGGUUUUUAAACCCUUACCUUCCAUCUUAGAAUCAAUACUCUGUACAGAUUUCAAGGCAGAAGAGUGGGAAGGGCCAGGCAAUGGGGAUCAAGUGACUUGCCCACGGUCACACAGCUAGGAAGUGUCUGAGGCCAGAUUUGAACCCAGGACCUCCCAUCUCUGGUUCUGGCUCUCAAUCCACUGAGAGCUGCCUCCUAGUUCUUUUAACAUCUUGAGGGUUCAGCAUUUGGUCAGUCCAUCGGGCGGUUUUCAGUCUUGAAACAUGCCUUUCCCCAAAAUGUAAGUCCUUGGUUAUGGCUUUCAUGCCACUUCUCCAAUUCAGUUUCCCCCCAACACAGCAAACAUUUGGCAUGCACCUACUUCAGGCAGAAUACCAUGCUGGGUGCUUGGUUGGGUGAGAUAUAAAGUUUUGCUCAGAUAUGAUUCCAACUCAUCUACCUUCCAGUUUGACAGCAGGAUAUGAGAUCAGUACUUUGAUGGAUGGGACCGUCUCCAUGUGGUCAUUCCCACCAAUAAACUGCAACCCAUUCCUGCCCUCUUGUCCUGGGUGACUCCUCUCCAUGGCCUCCCAUGGAUGCUCCGAAGGGGAUCUACCCAAUAGGCUGGGAAUCCUCCUCUAGUUCUUUUGGCAUCGCAUGGACACCAAUGGAACUGUCCAUUGGUCCACGGCCAGGCUACCUUCUCUUCUGGUCACAUAUCUCUAGUGGCAUUCUCAUGCCCAAUUCUUGGCAAUGAGCCAAUGUCUCUGGAUUCUAGUCUGGCCAAGCCCAUGGGGCACUUGUCUAUGUGGAGCGGGGUCUUUCCAUUGCCCACUGAUGUACCCGUCACCUGGAUUCUCUUCUUAGGAUGUGUCGGGGAACCACAGAACCUGAUACUUUGGUGGUAGGAAUCAUUUUCCUAAAUGGAAUCCUGCCCCCAUCUCCUGCAGCCCAAGAGAAGACCAUGGGCUCCCAGGAUUUGGAGCUAGGUUUUACAAAGGAGAGAAGUGACUGCUCUGAGGUCACUGCCAAUAAUGGACAGACCUGAGAAUCUCUGUGGGUCCUCGGACCGGAAAUCAAUACUCCAGACCGACUUUCUUCCAGUUCUGAUUCUGUCACUGACAUUAACAUGAGGUGUGACCCUGAGCGAGUCUCUUCUGCUCUGUGUGACUCAGUUUCACCAUCUGUAAAAUGAGAGGUUUGUACUCUCAUUCUUUAAGAGUUCUUCUAACUCUUCUGCUGGGUGAUUCUUCUACGAUGACCUUCUUGUUGAGGAGUCUCCAGUGACCACUAGAGGGCACAAAGUGCUCACAGACAGAGCCGUGUAGGAGCCUCACUACCCCAGUCCAGGCAGAGAGGAUCAGGCCAGCCUCAGUGUGCACACCUGCCUCACUUUUACCCUAAAAGCAAAACUGCUAAAAAUUGAAUCUUGGAUGCCGUAGUUGUCUUGUCCUCUUUCCCUCUUAUUUCUUAGGGGACUUUCUCUUCCCUUGACUCAUUGGCUCAUCCCACUGGCGAGGUUUCAUAAUUAAAAACAAACAAAAAAACCUCUUACCAUCCAUCUUGAUUUCAAUGCAGAAAAGUAAUAAAAGCCAAGUCAUAGGGUGAAGUGACUUGCCCAGGGUCACACAGCUAGGAAGUUUCUGAGGUCAGAUUUAAACCCAGGACCUCCUCUCAAUCCACUGAGUCAUCCAGCUGUCCCCUUCUGCACUUUAUUAUUAAGGAAGCUGACACAAAUCUAUCCCAAGAAAAGACAGGAGACAAUCUAGCUCAACCUUCCCAUUUUACAAAUGAGGAAACUGAGUCUCAGAGAAAAUGUUAUUUAUCCAGUGACACACAGGUACCAAAUCGAAGAAUUGGGACCUAUGUCUUAGUCUUUUGACUUUAGAAUUCUGGGUUCUUUCCAUUAUUCUAGGCUAGCUAGAAUUUCUGCAGUGGCAGAGAGGGUUUACCGACUGUCCCAAUGCUAUUGUCACUUCCAGUCGUUCCCCACUUUUCUCAGUAAGAUAAACAGGGAAUGGGUUCAUCUGGCACCACUCAGGAAAGUGAUGUUGGGCUGGCUCUGCCCAGAGCUGCAUCAUGGCUCAUUCCUCCAACUCUAGUUGUGUGAGGGCAUGUGUGUGGAAUGACGAUGCCCAUGAGCUCCCCCAAGGACCACAGGGACUACACAAGGGAAGGAGAUCCUCCAAGUCCUUUUCCCUCCAAAUUCUGCCUCUCUCCGUGAUGACUCCAAAUACCUGCUCUGACUUUUCCUUGGGCUAGAUGCCCUUUUGUGCCUUAGUUUUUCUACCUGUAAAAUUAGUAGAUUGGGGGGCAUAGGUGGCUCCAUGAAUUGAAAGCCAGUCUUAGGGUCCGGAGAUGCUGGGUUCGUAGAUAGCCUCAGAUACAUCCUAGUUAGGAGACCCUGGACAAGUCACUUGCCUCCCCAUUGUCCAGCUCUUAUUGCUCUUCUGUCUUGGAACCAUUACAAGUAUGUUGGACUAUAUGGUCUUUAAGGUGCCAUGACUCUAAAGGCAGAGAAGCUGGGUUCAAAUCCUGCCUUUGAUGUUUACUGCCUGUGUGGCCCUGAGCAAAUCACUUAAUCUUCCCCAAACUCAGUUUCCUCAUCUGUAAAAUGAGAGAGUUGGUGUAGGUGGCUCUUGAAAUCUAUUUAAGUCUCUAGUCCAGGCAGAGACUCAGGCUGGGGUCCCUUCCAGCUCUUCCACCCAUGAUCCUAGGGUUCUUGUUGUUCUAGUCUGACCUGGCAAAUACACACUAGACACCAAAAAGACGUUGAAGUCUUCUUCUGAACUCCUUUAUGGAAUAAAGUUGCCUUGCUCUGAGGAUUGGGCUGAGACCAUCUAGCUUCAUCUACAGAAAGCCCAUCCAGCCGUUACAUGGCCUUCCUUACGAGGCCUUCUCCCAUCUCCCCGUGGCUCACUGCCUUUCCCUUCAGACCCCACAGAGCGCUCUAGCCAAGCAUCUGGAAUGCUCCUCCCCUUUUUAUUUUUGGACCAGACUUGUGAUUUUAUUUAUCAGUGUAGGGGCUCCUGGCUGGUGAGAAACUUUCUCUGGCAAAGCAGAUCUCUGCAAUUUCUAGCCUCAGAGAGCUGCCUGGGCCACUUGACUGAAGUAACUCAUGAUGGUCAGAAGUUAACAAGUGGAACUUGAACUCGGGGCUUCCUGACUCCAAAGACAGCUCUCUAUCCACUAGGCAAGGGACCAGCGUUUGUCUACCUUUAUUGUGUAUUACUGGGCAUUAUGGGUACCUGAUAUUCUCUGGGUCAAUGGGAUUCUCUAAUCCCAUUUGGGUUCCACUCUUGUCUCUAGCCCUGUCCUCCCUCAAGCAAGUUGCUUUUACAGCUUUUGGGUUCCAUUUUGAAAUAAGAAGAUUGGAGUAGACCCAGCCUAAGGUGGUCUAAAUCCCAGGAUCCCCCUCUUCUGGAUUGUGGGCUUCAGAGGGGCAGAGAUUGCUCUAGAUUAUCCGAAAGGGAUUCCUCUCCGCGCUCAGGACAGGGCUGCGCACAGUAGGGACUUUGUAAAUGUUCACUGAAUUAAAGGCUGGGCUGGUCUCUCUGUCACACACAGGCUGAGACCAGCAGCAGCAGCAGCAGCAGCUUCUUUCCUAUGAUUUUCCUAAACACUGCCUCCGAAGGGCCCUCAGCACCUGUUCUUGCCCCAGCACCCGAGCCUGGCUUGAGGUGGCCACUUCCCCACUAUGCUGACACGCAACUCGGAGCUUCUCCGCCUGCCCUGGCCUCUCAUCAGGGGACAAGCUAAUGACCUACUGUAAUGCAUCGAUGCACCAGGGCGAGUGUGUGUGUGUGUGUGUGCGCGUGAGAGAGAGACAGACAGACAGACAGACAGAGACAGAGAGACAGAGCUGGAGAGAGGAGAGAGACAAGGAGGGCGGGAGAGGGAGAGUGAGGGAAGGAGGGAGAGGAAGGGAAGGAGGGAGGGAGGGAAGGAGGGAGAGGAAGGGAAGGAGGGAGGGAGGGAAGGAAGGAGAAGGAGGAAAGGAGGGGGCGAGAGAUGGAUAGAGAGGGAGGGGGGAAGGGGUGGAGGGAGGGAGAGAUCAUAUAAGGGAGUUCAUGGGAAAUUCCUCCAACACAGAGGCUGAGGGUAGAGAGGAAAGGGUAGAGUCCAGGCCCUGGUGUCAGACAUCCUGAAUUUACAACCUGGCUCUGAAACUUCACAGCUUCUCCCUAAGACUCAGUUUCCUUAUCUGAUAAAUCUGAAUGAAUAUUCUUGCCCUAACUACCCUCAUAAAGGUGUUGCAAGGAAAAAUAUGAACUUCAAAGGAGGAAGCUGCCAGGUGUGGGGAGAGCCCAAAGACGGAGGUUCCAGUCCCGCCUCUGCCACCUGCCACCUGUGUCCCAGGGCAAGUCAGGUCACCCACUCUCCCUGUGCUUUAGCUAUGUCUCUUUAAGAUGAUUAAUUGUAGAAUGAUCCUUGACCCGCAUUGGCAGGGCUUCCCUACAUCAAUAAAGCUCUGGGCCGUCCCCACUAAUUGUCCCCUCAUGCAUCUGACCAGGGAGGGGCUGUGCGUGUGCUUGUCAAUCGGGGUUUGCUGGAGGGGGGCAGACUGAGGAUUCUUUUCACUUGGCCCCAGAAGGACCAGUGGGUGCCGAGAGCAGUGUGAAGGAUGGUGCAUGAUGCAGUGGAAACAGUGCUGGCUAGGGAGCUGGAGAAUCCGGGUUCAAAUGCUAUCACUGACACGUCCGACUCUCUGCCUCUGGGCUGAUCUAACCUCAGAGGCUCGUUUGUGCCUGAACAAAGAUCCUUUCAGCCACCUUUGCCGAUUCAUUUGUGCCGUCCUCUGGGGGCUUCCAUUCUUCAGACAAACGGCCAUCCAGGUUAGUCUCAGAGCUCUAAGGAGGUCCCUCCAGAGGCAGCCGAUGGCAUGACGGGACAGCUCUCGUAGGUAGAAAGCUUGCUCUCUGCGCUGAAAUUCUGUCUUUGUAACUUCCAUCCAGAAGUCCUGGUUCUGCCCUCUGGGGCGGAAUGGAGCAAACCUCUAAUCCCCUUUCCACAAAACAGCCUCCAGAUGUUUCAAGCCAGCAAACUACUGUAGCUUUAAAAAAGCCUAUCCUCAGGCUAAACGUUCUCCCUUUACUCAGUGGCCUUCCAGCCUCCCGGCCUCUGGGUCCUCAUCAGUAAAAGAGGAGUUCCUCCCAGCUCUGCAUCCUGCAAUUCCUAAAUUGCUGAAGGUGAUGGAAGAAUUCCUGAGGUGGGAGGCAGGAUGCGGGGUUCCCUUCUCCAGAGGCCCCCAGGCCAGGACCCCUUCCGUCAUCCACUCCCCUUAGGAUUGAGGGAAUGCUGGGUGAAGGGUGGAGGACAGACUGGACUCAGAAUCGGGCCUGGACCAGUCCUUAAGACAACUGGAUCCAACUCCGUAUAAGGAAAAAAGUCCGAACAAUUAGUUUCAUCCAACUGGGAUGGGCUCUGGGAGUUGCACCCCACCGGAGGGCCACUGAAUGACCAUUUAGCUGGGAUGGUGCCCAGGGAGAGAGCACGCGAUGGAUUAUUGACUUGGCAGGGCUUCGGAGAUCCUCGAGGGAUCACUAGGUCAGAGAAGGGUAGCUGGGAGGGCUCUCGGACCAGACAAGGCAAGAAGCAUUUUAUUAAUCAAAUCCUGUUCCAGGUACUGGCCAACAAAGACCUAAACACAAACGAAAACUGCAAGUCCUCUAGUCCAGCUCCCUUAUUUUACAGAUGGGGAAAGAGGUCCGGAGAGGUUAUAAGUGACUUAUCCAGGGUCACAGACUGCAUCAAUAGUGGGAUAUAAUCCCAAAUCCUCUGAAACCCCUCAUUUUACAGAUGGAGAAAGCGAGAGCCAGAGAUUUGAUCCACUGGUCUAAGGUCACCCAGUUCUGCCUACCUUCUCCGACUCCCAAAUGUAGCCCCAUCAUCCCAGCCAGGAGGGAUUUCUGCUUAGGUAUAGGUUAAAGGUUCCUGCCAACCCCAUCCUUGAAGGCAAAGCUCAGAGGACAGGAAACUUGCCCAAGGGCAUACUGCUUG